UGUGUUGGGGCUCUCUUAACGCACUGUUGAGAAAAGUGAUCUUCAAAUGUUCACUGCGUGACUUAGACAGCAACUCUGCAGCUGUUUGACAAACCCAAAGCCAUUUCAGUCUGUCACAAGCAAAAAUAUUUGGAACACCCUGUAGCAAGGACCUAUAAUCCCCAACAAAGAAAUAAUAUUAUUCACAACAGUGUGAGAAGAGACACACCAAAGCUGCCCUGCACUAAGUGUGGGUUUUGCUACGGGUUUUGAUCAUUUUUUUCUCAUUUUUUUCACUAAAGACAUUAGACAGGCUUUUUUUUCCCUUUCACUUCUUUCAAGUACGGAAGAUUAAAGGGUAGUACUCUAUAGCAAGCACGGUAACACUUGAUAAAACAGCUCUUUGCAUAGAUAUUGCUUCUUACAUAAAGGAAACCACUGGCUGUGUUGUGACAGCACGUUGUCAGAAGUAAUGACAAAUGCUAAAUCACAGACAGUGACAGGUGAAGAUGAUUACCGAGCUGCUCUCUAAGCGUGAUAACUAAAAACUAAAUCAAACUGUAAACAUUAUUCAGACUAUUUAGAACAAUGGCAAUUUCAGAUAUUGUAUUUGUUAACAAGCAUCUGACACUUUUUUGAUCCCUUUGUAUUAAUUAACGUGCUGCUAUACACUCCUGUACAGUAGGGGGCGACACCACCUGUCACGUGUUUACCAGGCGACUCACCUGACGCUCGGUAGCAGCGUCGACAGUAACAGCGAGAGAGGAGGAGAAGAAGAAAGUCAACGGGAAAUUAUCGAGAUGGACAUUAAAGUUGACAUCACAACGAUGACUGAGAGAAUGAAUGAGAUCAGGAUGGUGUCAGCAGAAGAGACAGGAAAGUGAAAACCAGGGGAGUCCUUAUUGUCAUUUAUUGAGUAUUUGCAUAAUUCCACUACGUGUUUAAUUUGGAUGAUGUUCUCAUCUAAUUUGUUUAUACAUAGCUGAAGUGGAGCAUAGCAGGUUGAAUAUGAGCAGCAGAGAGUAGCAGUAAAACAAUUGGCUACACUGUGUGCCUAAUUUAAUUGAGGUUAGUUAGAAUGAAAAUUUAUGACAACAAAAUUGGUUUAAAUUCAAAAAACAUCAUAUACACUAUAGAAUACAAAUCUGAACAUUGUAAUUAUCCACUAGAGCAGCAAUAAGUGAACAGUAAAUGAGCACUAAUGUAUUAAAUUUGUGUGCAAAAGUAUAAAUCUUACAUUGUUUAAAUGGAGCCCAAACAUUUGGAGUUAUUUUCCCUAAAAUACAGAUGAAUGACUUCUUUUAUGAAAGUAACAUUUUGGCUCAAGAAGUUCAUUUAGUUCACAUUAAAAUGACUUCAAAUAAAAUUGGAUGUGCUGAUUUUCUUUUGCUCUUUAGUUUCAGUUUCAUUUUACACUGUGAAAAAUGUGCAUACGGAAUACAUAUGAGAUUUUUAUCCCACAAUUCCAACAAAUAAUUAUCUUAAACUGCAGGUUUUAUUACAUUACCGACCAAAUUACAUUAUAUCAUUAGGUACCAUUAUUGCAGUUUGUGUUUUUCAUUAUGAUUCAGAGAAAAAACAUUAGAUCCAAGGUGGUGCCAUCCAAAUGAGGUCUCAUUCUUAAAAAGUCUCAUAAGACCAGUUUCUUCAUGGUAAGUCUUUAUUAUUGCGAAGCACAGAAAUCAAUUACAGUUUUAUAGAGAAUCCUGAUCCCUGAUGGGGAAUUCAUCAAGGAGCACUUUGCAUUUUUACAAGUCUUCAGGAUUUAGAAAGUAAUAAAAGGUGUUCACUGGUGACGUGUUCAGUCCCUUUCUAAGCCAAACUCAUGCUGAGACAAGACUCCUCCUACCCUUCUUAACAUAACAAUAAUAUCAUUUGUUGCAUCCAGUCACUAACAAUACAAUUUCACAGUACAGUACAUACAGUACUGAUACCUAUACUGUGUAUUUACCUUGUAUCAUUCAAGUUCAAUUUUAUCUUUCUAUUUAGGUCCCAGACCAAUUUGUUGCAGCCUGUUGAAACAUGUUCUUUACUAUGCACGCAGUUCCAGUACCUUUUGGCCCUUUUUGGACAAACGGCAGAGCAGAGAGCCAGGGGGCAUUUCAUUUCAUGCUCUGCCUCCUCAACCCCAGAUGUUCACCUCGAAAACAUCUCCACUGAUACAGGGACAUCAAUAAUAGCCACACAGCUGUCAGAGUCCAUUAAGACAUAUCUACAUAAGGAGAGGAGCAAAUAUUCAUAGGCAUAUCAGCUUUCUGGGAACCACUCGGAGAGAUGGAUUGGAAUGACACAGAGAUGAACUCCCUUUUGAAUCUAUUGUGAGCCGGGAGCUGCCACAUUGGCUCAAGGGAUUCUGAUGUUUGCCAAGAUAAAGGUCGACAAGCCUGAGAGAUCGCUUGAAUCGUCUGAGCUUGAACAACCCUGAAAUUGCUAUUGUGUCCACGGCAAUUUAAAAGUAGUGGAGAUGCUGGAAAUAACAACCUUGGGAUGAAAGGAUCAAGCACACUUUAAGGAGACUUCCACAUCCAUCCUCGCCUCCAUCAUUCCACCCCCCCAUUCAAAGAGGACAAGUGUCAAGUUCAAAGCCUCUGGUAAUUAUGAUGUCUGCCCGCAGCGGGAGACUACUCGCACUCUGGUUCCCUCUGACCAUGUAAACGCAAACAGAGUCUGUGACGGGCAGAGACGCGACGCAGAUACGUUAACCGGCCGAUCAGGGCUCCUCAGCACAAUACUAUGAGAUAUUUAACAUGACAGUUGAUGAUAUUUACUGACACAGCUAGUUACAUCUUGAUGAGCGUCACAUUAGAGUCUGCACACAUAUCACAAUUCAACUCAUUAUUUCAGCAUGCACAGGCUCAUUAUUGCUAAUUAAAAGGAUAAUUGCAUGCAUCCAGGACAUUAAAUUCCUCAAGCAGCCAUCAGGAAGGUGGACCAGGCCCCCGACUCCUCCUGCAGCGUUAGCCUGAAGCCCACAUGCAGCUUUAUGCAUGUCGGGUGGGUUCUAAAAGGGUCAAGCUGGAGCUGAGGGGCUGCUGCAUGUUCCCACCGCCGAGGUCUUGUACAUCUUUUUAUUCUCUCGCUCCAACUUUUCAUACGUAUCAGAGCUGUCACUGUGCAGCACAGUUGUUUUCUCCCUCUUAUUUUUUUUCUAGUGACACAGAAGUGCAAAAGUUCAUCCACAUACUCUGGAAGGUAGCAGCGCUAAGAAAGUAAACUUUCAUGGAGUCGGCGUGCCGGGGCUUAGGAGAAGGUCUGCAGCUCCUCCAGAAAGCUCGUCUCAGCGGCAAUGAGUCUGAAAAUGUACUUUUCUAUUUGGUUUUCUUUACUUUUAUCAGAAGGAGGUGCAGUAUAAUCCCCAGCAAAGGCACUAAGAGCUGUCAUUGUCACUUCUGACAAGGGCAUGAAGGAGGAAGUAAAUAUUCCAUUGUCGCAAUAAAAACUUGGAGAAGCUGCGUGGAAGGUAGAGGUCAGCGGUGCCAUGUAGGAGCCGUGUAUUAAGACGCAGAAGAAUCUGAGCGAGGGACGAAUCGCUCGUCAGGGCCUACGGAGGAAUGCCAUUAACGCGGGCUGGCUAUAGAAUGUGGAAUGAAGCCGUGGACGCGGCCGCUAACCUUGGAUAAUGGCCUAGUGGGUUUUGGCCACAGGAACAUAAAUUUCCGUGCACUUCUGUGUAGCAGCGAUAAAACCUGCGAUAUAAAAAAAAAUAAAAAAAACGGCAGCCAUUUCUCCACUUGUUUUACUUUUUGAAACAAAUAGUGCCAGAUGUAAUAAAUGGCCUUUUUACAGGAGACAAUGUGACGCAGAUAAGAGCAGGGCACGUCCGUCCGAAUACGCCCCAGACUAAUUACUCCUGAUGCGUUUACUGGGACGUGGUGACAAUGAAUUCUCCACCCUGAAACCAGCCGCCGAGGCUUCUUCCUCCUCCGGGCCCCGGCUGACAGGUGCGUACGCGCUCCCCCCGAAAUCACACAGCUACUCAGUGGCUUGUGUUAAUGUUGCUCCCGCUAUGCACAUUGUUUGGAGUGUGUUGACUUCAGGUGUUGUCAAGCAGCAUUGGCAGCGGAGACGGAUGAGACAGAUACACGGGGUAAAGACGGAGUCAGAGAAUAUGGUGGCGGUUGAGACAUAAAAGAAGCCGUAAAGUUAAGGCUAUAAAUAAUGCAAGGAACCUGGAACGUAUCUGGAAAUCAGAGAGGGGAAAUCUCAGCUGGGACGGAUCCUGUUGUUGUACUAACUUAUGAAACUUCAUUACUCCCUCUCACACCAGAACGCAGACGCUGCGUCUUAUCACACAAACUGUGACUCUUACACAAACAGAAUUAAUUGACGUUACACAGCUUUAAUGGCGCCACGCGGUGAUGUUGAAACAGAUUAAAUGUAGCACACGAAACACAUUUGUAUUGAUCUCAUUCAUUACUAAAACCUACUUUAAUUAUAGAAAUAUAUUAUUAUAUAUUAUAUAUACUAAAUUGUGCACUUAUGGAGUAUUUGUGAUAUCUCUUUUUUCUUCUGAGAAUCUUCCUAUGACGUAUUUGUCCUGGUUCAUUUCAGAUCUGUCAGUGUCUAGUGUCCUUUUAAAAUAAAUAAAUAAAAUCAAAGGACAAUAAAAUAAUAAAAUAAGGAAUAAAAUAAAAGGACAAAGCAGAAAGUGCAUUGGCUGAUUGUGUUCUGCCGGUGAUGAUGAAGUGAAUGCUCCAGUGGCACCAACGGUCCACAGAGGAGGAGAUGGUGAAAAUAGCCACGCUGCCACUUUGCUCUAGAGACUGCCGGCAACCCAUUGACCUCAAUGUCUUUUAUGCUGUUUAGCCCAGAGUGCUAACUAUCAGAUAUUAACACCACACAUCUUUGAUUUUGUGCGCCUGUCAGGCCCCGAGGGCUCUUGUACAUAUUGUGUGUCCUGGGGCUGCCAUCCUCUGUGUGUCCAUUGCCUUGUCCUCCUCUGGCGCGACAAAGGGCCACAAAGAGGCGAGGAAUUGUGGGAGAAAAUUGCCAGGGCUUCCUGACUCAUCACCACCAGCACCAGCACCUCUGCCGCUGCCGCUCCGAUGACAUCACCACAGCCAAUUUCACCCCUGCAGUUUAUUUCAAGCUGACUGUGUGUGUGUGUGUGUGUGUGUGUGUGUGUGUGUGUGUGUGUGUGUGUGUGUGUGUGUGUGUGUGGGCGCGUGCACACCUCGUGCGUGAUGGGGAGAGAAACAGUCUCUCUCUCUCCCGCUCUCUCUCCAUGUAAUUCAGUGUGUGAAGGCACCAAUACCCAUCUCUAUGAUAAUUUCCUAUUCACUAUGAGCAAAGACAGCAACACUGAUACAAUUCAUUUCCCCUUUAUUAACUGGUGCGGAAAUGUUGGGCCAGCAGAAGUGACUUCAGAAGUCUUUCAGGGCUGAGAGGUGGCAGAGUUUGUUUUACGGGUGGGAGGAGAAAGCGACUACUACAGGGUCCAUGAUUUCGGGAGCCAUGCAUCCAUAAUAGUGUUUCUGCCGGAGAGCAGAGGUUUAGUCUCCGCUAACAUUUAGCGGCCUGUUGAGUCCCUCACAGCAUUUUGCGCGACCCCGUUGCCCCCGGAUCGACGCUCCUCACGUUCAGACGAUCAACUUUUGUUUCCAGACUCCGCGUGACUUUCACACGUGACACCGACAGUCGAGUCCAGUCAGUCACGCUGACAUUCAAUUCAUCAGAUCCGAUGACUUGCCACCAGUGCCGCUUUUAUCUAAGGUGAUGUCCUCUUUAUUUUUUCCCCAUCCCCGACGCUUCCUCUCUCCGCUCUGAUAUUGCUAAUUAUUUUGAACUAUCAGGUAGACACUUUCAAUUUCAAUUAAAUGGCGUCUUCUGCGCUGACCUUGGGGUGGAGAACGGGGCUGCUGCCUCUGCCCUCAACAAUCCCACCAGCAGUUAGAGGUGCCAUUUAGGAAGAAAUUUAAACUCAAUUUGAGCCCAACUUCCCUGAGUUCACCCUUGUCUGCUCAGUAUAUGUACUCCAGCAACACACUUAAUGUGAUAAUUGAAAGGGGCCCAAUUAAAGCUUGGAGGCAUAACUGGCUACUGUGAUAGACCCCGGGGUAGCUGUGAAGGACAGAUUUACAGCCAUAUGCAGCUAAUCUCGCUGUCUAGUGUGGCUUGUGAAUCCUAAUGCACCGAUGUUGUGAUGACUUAUUGGUUAAUGGCGGCUCACAAACACUAUAUUUUGCUCCCAGUAUCAACACGAGGGUGCAUCAAGUCACAGAGUCGCUGCUGUAGGUGCGGCGAACGCGUGGUUUUCAGAGUAAUUCAUCAAAAUUAUAACACGUCCUGCAAAAACUGUUCUGGAGAGUUGCUGCGCAAUGUCAUACAGGCAAAUGGGGAAGGGAAAAAAAACAGCCACAGAGGGCACCAUCUAUGUAAGAAAAACAAUUAUGGGAUAUUGACAGCGAGUGCAAUCAAAGGCUCCCCUGCCAGACUCAAUGAGGUGCCAAUCAACUGAGUGUCUGCCUCGCGCUGCCACCGCUGCUGCCGCUGCCUUUCAUUUCACUCAGAUUCUGCCAUGGCGAAUCCUCAGUCAAUAGCUUAGAGCUGAUGGUUAAUGCUGAUUGAUGACAUUCACUACUCAUACCUAUACCUAGAUAUUAUAUAUAAAAUAUAAUAAUGACAAUAAUAAUAAUAAUAAUUUUGUAGUAGUAGUAAAAAUUGUAGUUGCUUUAAUUAACAUUGUUCCAAACCAGCCUUAGAGCUUCUGUCACCAUGUUUUGAUGGCUUCAUUAUUUCCGUCGGCGAGAAUCCGGUAGCUCCUUGAAUGUUACUAAAGGUCGUUCAUGAUUGAUUUAAGCCAUAAUUAAAUUGAUUAUUAAAAUAAAUGAUAAAGCGCCAGAUGUGUUUUCAUCAAUGUCCCAUGAAAUCGUGUGAAUUAGAAUGUCACUCAAAAGCCCGACACGAGCCAACAAAACGUACAGGCGUCGGAGAACAAUCUCGUCCACGCAUGUAAUUAAAGUGAUCCUAUCAAAUGUGACAUUUCGAUCGCGUCCGCGCCGCGAUCAGAACAGCAGAGGAAGAUCACGCCUCCGCAGAGGGGGAGCGCCAGAGCUUAAUACGGGUUCGCGUGAGAACGCGGUAAGAGGCGCUUCCGAGCGCAGAAAUGUCAACCAGCAGGAGCAGCCCUGCAACAAAACCUGCUGUAGCCAUGAUAUUGAAUUGGCGACAAGUGUCACCUCUAGACAGGAAAUAAAAUCAUUUCCCUCUCUCUCUCGCGCCAUCUCUUACUGUUCUUCUCUUUCCCAGUGUUUACGCGUUUAUUUGCCACGUUUCAUCCUCGUCCCACGAGGCCACAUUCAGACAUUCAGCUUUAUUAUUAAGCAUGUGUUAGAGCGGGCGGCGUCUCCCACAGGUUGUCCACACAACGAGCAGGAGCCAUUAGGGGAUAGAGUGUAACAAACAUAUCAUAGGUUGGAGAUCAUCUGGUGCCGGUUUCCUGCAGCAGGGUUUGUAGUAUUUCUUUCAUUAUCUCGCCUCCGCUCCUCACCCACACAUCAGCUCUUAUUUACAGUGAGUCAACAUAUUGAAGUCAGACUUGUGCAAGGCUGGGUGUUAACGAUCCAUCUCUUUGACAAGCCAGGGAAAAAAAACUCAUUUACUAAUUUGCAAGCAUGUGACCCCAGUCAGUUUUCUUUAGAAUGCAUUAUGGAAAUCUAAUCAGACACCGCGCCUUACCUUAAGACAACAUUGAGACGUUCCAGGAGGAUGACCUUCAAAACCAGUACCGGCGCCGCCGCUACCGUCUCCUCCAUGUGUUCAGUGCUUAGCGACUGUGAGGGAUCCCUCCCCCCCAUUCGCUUCAAUUGCUCUUUGAGUCAUAUAGGUCUUCAUGGAGCAAGGUGGCACAAUUACCAUUUAAAGUGGUUAACAUGCCCCAAUUGCUAUUUCUUUCCAUUUUCGUCUGAAAUAUAAUUCAUUGUCCUUAUUGAACAUAUUGAGAGCACUUCUCGGGGUUCGCCGGGCUGCAUUGUAACAUCUCAGCCGCGAGUAGCGAUAAACAGACUGAAAGCUUUCAAACUUAAGUGGCACGGGGGGAGCAGUCAUUAAAACAACAGCAACCUUGAGCCACUUCUGCGUCGAAAAACAAUUAUCACGAACUGAAACGCUUUAAGGAGCAAAUCACAAUCAUAUGCCAUAUAUGACACUUAACUCCCCGCCUGUUUCCCUUUGAGUCCACACUUCACAGAGCGCACAACAAAGAUUUGUAAACUCUACUGGCAGGAGAAGAAAGGGUAUUAAUUUUCCAACCUGGAAACUGUAAACUGAAAAUACCUAUGAAGUGGAUAAUUCUGUCUGGAGGAGACAUGUAUUUUCCCCUUCCUUGUGUCAACACAACUUCUUUUGAGGUGUGCAGCGAUGUCUGUAUGGACCAGAUAAGUCUCUUAUUCUCAGCAAAGAGCAAUUUGCAAAAUUCAGACGGCUGUACACAGACUCUCCACAUUGUUAAUUAAAUCAUUCUGCCUUUGAUGUUUCCUCAGGUUUUAAUGGGAAAAUAACAAAAUUAAAUAGGAUGCUGUCUUCCCUCCUUGUGAAAAGGACGAUUCAUGGAUGGUGCAUCAAUUAUUGAGGCAGAAAUAUUGUAAAUAAAUUAAAUUAGCCAUAAAUAAAGAUGCAUGACUCCCGACUGAAAGCGCAGCAUUGUUAUUCUUUAAACCUGUCAGGGCACUGGCAUGUGAAAGCAGCCAUAUAUUAUUCACACUUAUUUGCACCUUCUAUACCUGUUGCCAAACACACAUGGACCAUAUGGUCAGGCAGCGACCAGGAAGUGGGUCGUAUGAAUAAAAGGCUUGCUUUUGUUGUAAGUGUAGUAGACGUGAAUCAACAAGGGCUGGUGUGUGUACAGUAGUGGUCCACAUGUGGGAACCCAACCUCUCCUGUUAAACUGGAUCCGAGCAUGCGGUUCUGAAGCCCGGUCACGUGAUCAGGCUGGUGAGAAUUGGCGUCUCCUCCCUCCUGCAACACCGCUGCCUCUUAAUUUGAUCAAUAAAGAUGAAUUUCUCCCUGUAAUGAAAUUCACACUCAAUGACAAGUUUAUCAAUGGCUGCCGCCAAAGGUCAGGCAAUAAAAGGAGAUUUUGUUCCGCAAAAAAAAAAAAAACAGCACCUAAUUAGUUUAGUGUUCAGCAAGGCUGCUACACGCUCGCACCUGUCCGGCCGAGACGUAUGACAUCAUGCGUUCACCUGUAGCUCGGUCAAUAACGUUCUACAGCACAAACAUGCGGCGGUACUACAGGACGACCUUUGCACUAAUCAAUCCGCUAACGCUUUGUGUCUAAAGAAUAAAGCUGGCAAAUCUGGGGGGAAGGUGUGUUUUCCAAGCGGGGUCAAGCUGAUUACAGAAUACGGUCCCUAAGGUGUUAAUGGCAGGCUGAUUAUCUGAAUGGUUAGUGUGUUUUACU